AGGUCAACUAGGAAGCAUACUGAAAUUUCUCGCCUUCCUGUUCCAUAACGUUUAUUUUGGCCCAGUUUAAGUGAUCUGGUUUAAUUAUUUUCAACAUUCCAGAGGCAAAUAUUCACGUGUUUGAAAACAAAAAAAGAAAUUCAACAUACCACAACAACACGUUGAUCAAGAUAUGAUCGGGAUAGCGAGUGAUCCUGAACAUGGGAAUAAUGUUAUUGAAGUGCUGAAAAAACAAAAACUAGGUCUGACACUAGGAGUGCUUCUGGGCUUGGCAGCAUUGUAUGUAAUUGUGGCCGUGUAUCUUUAUCGACCUAUAAGGCCCAACAGGAGGACUCAACAGCAAUGAGGGCAUAUCCAAAAUCUGUCCCAACAUACUAUGGCAGCCUUUUGCCAUUUAAAAGACUGAAAAACCAACAUGGUGCAUAUAUUUACUAUAUUAUAUAUUUAAAGCAGGUGACACUGUUUUGAGAUGUUUUGAUGAUGAAUUCCACAGGAGCAUUAUACCUCCCAGGGACCAAACUUUGAUCAGUCCCAGAUUAUUUGGUGCAGAUGUGUGAAAGUGUUUGUUACCAUUUGUAAUUUAAACGAAUAAAAUGUGCAUAAUAUCAUAUUAAAAUUUCAACAUUUCAAAUUUUACAAAAAUACUCAUUUAAUAAUAACACUAGAUAGUUCCUUCAAGUGCCAAAGCAAAAAUGACAGUACUCAUUAAUUUCUUGUAUAUUAGAAUAGGUGAUUUGUGUCUUAAUUUUAAUGUGGAAAUUUACUGUGCAUUAAGCCAAAUUGAUAUACAGGUUCAGUUUCAGGAUACUAUAAGGAUACUGGCCUGAAUUGAUUUGGAAGGUUUUAUAAAUACUGGUAUUUAUUUCAAUUUUCCAUGACUUAAAAGUAAUUUACACUAAUACUAAAGAUGUGCAUUGUGAUUGAAACCAGUCAACAUGUUAAAACAUUCCUUCUUUGGUAUGCAGCGAUUAUUCACUUGCAUUCGCCCUUCCUGAAGCAGGGUACAUGUAGUUGUGGUCUUAUAUUCCCUCAGACUCAAGAAGAUGGAUUAGGCUUCAUUCACAUGCAAUGUCUAUUUUCUAAAUUCUAUUUUCUA